CCCUCUCCCUCUCACUGUCACCGUCCGUCCCCUUCUCCCUCUCUCUCUCUCACUUGAAAGGAUUGAACAAGAAGUGCUCAGGCUCUCUCUCAGACUUAAGGGCUGCCUCGAGGUGGAACGACGUACCGUGCCACCAGCCACCCUUCUCAGCACCCCGAUGCCUCCCGCCCCCGACGUCGGGGAGGUGGCUUCUCCCACCGAGGGCAGUGGGGUUGGGGGUGACCUGGUGGCUCCCCUCAGCCAACCGGGACAUAUGUCCGCGGGGUUGAAGGUGGCCUCCAACGGCAGGCAACUCUGCCCCGCGCCUCCGCGGAGGAGACGCGCACGGCAGGCGGCCCCCUAGCCGGGAGGGCUGAGCCGGGAAGACAGCCGGGCGGGAGACCCGCGACGGCCAGAGUCCGGCUGCAGGGCGCGCGGCGUCGGCACAGCGAGGAUGCUCUCAGGACUUGGGAGAGGACAGAGGGAAGAGAAGCACCCUGAGAAAAGAGCCGUAGUAUUUUUGGAUGGAUGUGCUUGGAUGGAGGCCACAGUUCUCAGAAACAGCCUUAGACGAGGCAGCCCCAGCGGGCUGCUGGGAAGCGCACGGCCCAAAGCCUGGCCAGGUGCGGGGUGCUGGGUGUCCCGAGGUGUACCACCAGGACACAAAACAACCACCGAGGGGAAAGUCCUGCUCACCUUGCUUACCUGUUGGCAAGAGGGAAAUGCGUCCAAUGGUAGCCCUUUCAUUAGACAAAGCCAAUUUUACAAAUCUGCAAAAACCGUCUGAACCUUGGCAACUUUCAUAUGCAACAUUUUAGCGCCCUCUGGCGGUGCUUGGAUUACUUUCAUGCUUGCCUGCAUCCCUGCCAAGAAUCCCACUGAGUUCUUCUCCAAGGUGGAUCUGCCCCCUGACCUGGGAGUGGAUUUGGGACAGGUUUGCCUCCAGAAUGGAGGUGACAAAAUGAUUUGGGUGGGGGGGAUCAGACGACAAAGACAACUGAAUCCUUAUCCAACUGAAGAAAGCCCUGGAAUCUCCUACUGAGAUAAGCUGAACUCCAUGUCAGAGUGAUUUCUCCCCAAGCAAAAAGUAAGGUGCAACAGGAGCCUUGGCGGUGCAGCAGAUAAGUGCUCAGUUGCUAACUGAAAGGAUGACGGUUCAAACCCACCAGCCAUGCCAUGGGAGAAAGAUGUGGCAGCCUGCUUCCAUAAAGAUUUACAGCCUUCAAAACCCUAUGGGGCAGUUCUACUGUGUCCUACAGGGUGACUAUGAGUUGGAAUCGACUUCAUGGCAACAGCUGCGGCUGAGUUGGCUCCAUCUCAUAGCAACUUUGUGUUGGAAGGAAACAUCGCUUGGUCCUGUGCCAUCUCCACGACUGCUGCUACAGUGCAAGGAGGAGAGGCCAGGACCUUUGCUUCCAUCAAAACUUCACACCAGAAUGAGUGAGAACAUGCCAACAGCUGGAGAUCCUGGUCUUGGCUGGACAAAUUGGGAAUAAGGUCACUGGCCGGACACAUUUUAUGCAAAGCAAUAAAAAAAAAAAUUCAGCUUUAUCUAGGGACCUGCCUUUUCCUCCCCUUCUACUUGGCACAAGUUCUCCAGCACAAAGUAGAUGUCAGUGAAUUCAUGUCCCUAUGCUGUUUAUUAAAAAUUUAAUCAUCCUACUCUUAGCUACCCAGCUUCAGUACAGUCAUAUUUUCGGCAUUUUGGUUUUCUCCAUGCACAUGUUAUGUUCCCUACCACAGUUCAAAAGCCCUCGUGGCAAUUCCCUCCUCUGCCAUUUCUUACUACAUCAUCCUUCUCUCCUAAGAUGAGGAAGAAAGGUUGUAGAGAAAAUUUCGUGUGAACAAUUAGAGAUUUAUUUGUUGUUGCUGUUGGGUGCCAUCAAGUCGAUUUUGACUUACAGCAGCCCCAUGUGAUAGAGUAGAACUGCCCCAUAGGGUUUCUAGGCUUUGAUCUCUAUGGGAGUACAUUGCCAGGUCUCUUCUCCUGUGGAGCCGCUGGGAAGGUUCGAACGACCAACCAUUCAGUUAGCAGCCAAACACUUUAACCAUUGUGCCACCAAGGCUCCUUCAUAUACACAAUUUGGUUAUGCAUUUAAGUGAACCUUAGCUGGGUGAAAAAAAACAAGAAACUAAAUAUAGGCCCACCUUAGAAAAUAAUGUUUCUUAAAAUGUAUUCUUAUGUUUAUGUGAAAAUGGCUCAAAAAUGAGACCCACAUGCAGCACAAAAAAUAUCCACUAGGGGGCACUGCAGUCAAAGCACACAGGAAAUGGACUCAACCCCUUCAUAAACCUGGUUCAUGUUUUUAAUAUUGUCAAAAGUUAAUUGUUUUAAAAAACAAGAGGCCCCUUCCUUUUGUAAGAUAUAUUUAGGUAAAAAUUGCACAAGGCACUCUUGGCUCAAGAAAAAAGUAUCCAUUUUCCAACAGCAGAAGCUUCAAAUAGCUAACUCACAGCAUCCAAAAUUAGCCCUUGGUGGUAUAGUGGUGGAAACCCUGGUUGCAUAGUGGUUAAGUACUACCGCUGCUAACCAAGAGGUCAGCAGUUCAAAUCCACCAGGCACUCCUUGGAAACUCUAUGGGGAAGUUCAACACUGUCCUAUAGGGUCGCUAUCAGUCGGAAUCAACUGGACGGCAGUGGGUUUGGGUUUU